UAGCUCACUGGUCAAGUGAUUGUGCGCCGAUAAUGUAGCGGGGCUCAAGCACACCGCCGAAGCCGCGGCACAUCCACCUUGUGGUGGGUGUGGGUAGGGGAGCGUCCCUCAUUCAGCGAAGCCACCGGGUGACCGGUGGUGGAGGGUGGGGGAGUGAGAAUGCAGGCAUGAGUAGCGACAAGGCAAGUGAGAACCUUGCCCGCCGAAAGACCAAGGGUUCCUGGGCCAGGCCAGUCCGCCCAGGGUGAGUCGGGACCUAAGGCGAGGCCGACAGGCGUAGUCGAUGGACAACGGGUUGAUAUUCCCGUACCCGUGUGUGGGCGCCCGUGACGAAUCAGCGGUACUAACCACCCAAAACCGGAUCGAUCACUCCCCUUCGGGGGUGUGGAGUUCUGGGGCUGCGUGGGAACUUCGCUGGUAGUAGUCAAGCGAAGGGGUGACGCAGGAAGGUAGCCGUACCAGUCAGUGGUAACACUGGGGCAAGCCGGUAGGGAGAGCGAUAGGCAAAUCCGUCGCUCACUAAUCCUGAGAGGUGACGCAUAGCCGGUUGAGGCGAAUUCGGUGAUCCUCUGCUGCCAAGAAAAGCCUCUAGCGAGCACACACACGGCCCGUACCCCAAACCGACACAGGUGGUCAGGUAGAGCAUACCAAGGCGUACGAGAUAACUAUGGUUAAGGAACUCGGCAAAAUGCCCCCGUAACUUCGGGAGAAGGGGGACCGGAAUAUCGUGAACACCCUUGCGGUGGGAGCGGGAUCCGGUCGCAGAAACCAGUGAGGAGCGACUGUUUACUAAAAACACAGGUCCGUGCGAAGUCGCAAGACGAUGUAUACGGACUGACGCCUGCCCGGUGCUGGAAGGUUAAGAGGACCCGUUAACCCGCAAGGGUGAAGCGGAGAAUUUAAGCCCCAGUAAACGGCGGUGGUAACUAUAACCAUCCUAAGGUAGCGAAAUUCCUUGUCGGGUAAGUUCCGACCUGCACGAAUGGCGUAACGACUUCUCAACUGUCUCAACCAUAGACUCGGCGAAAUUGCACUACGAGUAAAGAUGCUCGUUACGCGCGGCAGGACGAAAAGACCCCGGGACCUUCACUACAACUUGGUAUUGAUGUUCGGUACGGUUUGUGUAGGAUAGGUGGGAGACUGUGAAACCUCGACGCCAGUUGGGGCGGAGUCGUUGUUGAAAUACCACUCUGAUCGUAUUGGGCAUCUAACCUCGAACCCUGAAUCGGGUUUAGGGACAGUGCCUGGCGGGUAGUUUAACUGGGGCGGUUGCCUCCUAAAAUGUAACGGAGGCGCCCAAAGGUUCCCUCAACCUGGACGGCAAUCAGGUGGCGAGUGUAAAUGCACAAGGGAGCUUGACUGCGAGACUUACAAGUCAAGCAGGGACGAAAGUCGGGAUUAGUGAUCCGGCACCCCCGAGUGGAAGGGGUGUCGCUCAACGGAUAAAAGGUACCCCGGGGAUAACAGGCUGAUCUUCCCCAAGAGUCCAUAUCGACGGGAUGGUUUGGCACCUCGAUGUCGGCUCGUCGCAUCCUGGGGCUGGAGCAGGUCCCAAGGGUUGGGCUGUUCGCCCAUUAAAGCGGCACGCGAGCUGGGUUUAGAACGUCGUGAGACAGUUCGGUCUCUAUCCGCCGCGCGCGUCAGAAACUUGAGGAAACCUGUCCCUAGUACGAGAGGACCGGGACGGACGAACCUCUGGUGCACCAGUUGUCCCGCCAGGGGCACCGCUGGAUAGCCACGUUCGGUCAGGAUAACCGCUGAAAGCAUCUAAGCGGGAAACCUUCUCCAAGAUCAGGUUUCUCACCCACUUGGUGGGAUAAGGCCCCCCGCAGAACACGGGUUCAAUAGGUCAGACCUGGAAGCUCAGUAAUGGGUGUAGGGAACUGGUGCUAACCGGCCGAAAACUUACAACA
rnacentral:rRNA from 1 species